rnacentral:rRNA from 1 species
AUGAACAUUUUGCAAAAACCACACGAACAAUCUUUUACAUUAUACGGCCAUUUUUCAUAUCCGUUGAAAUUUUUCAAAAACUGCAAAAGCUCAUGGAGUGAGGGAACUUUUAAAAAAGGUGAAAACAAAAAAGUAAAUAGGAACAACAAAAAGAACCAAAAACAAUCGAACGAGAAAACGAGAAACGGCAGCUUAGUGGGCCGGGCCAUGCGGAAGCAACUGCAGGCGAGCGGGGCGUGCGACUCGCCGAGAGCGAGACAGUUUGCGCCCGAGCAAGCACGCUCGUGCGCUCGGCCGCGCGGACGCUCCGCCCGGCGCCCUGCCGGCCGAGCGCCACCGAUCGAGACGCGCGCUGAAUGA